CGGCAACAGCUCAAAUUUGAAAUCUGGCUCCUUCGGGGUCCGAGUUGUAAUUUGCAGAGGGUGCUUUGGCGUCGGCCGUGGUCUAAGUUCCUUGGAACAGGACGUCACAGAGGGUGAGAAUCCCGUACGUGGCCGCCGGCCUUCGCCGUGUAAAGCCCCUUCGAC
rnacentral:rRNA from 1 species